rnacentral:tRNA from 1 species
GUUUUUGUAGUUGAUAUACAACGGUGGUUUUUCAGGCCUCAAGACUCAUAAAUGAGCAAAAAUU